ensembl:rRNA 5S_rRNA 5S ribosomal RNA
GCUUACGGCCAUACCACCUUAGGCACGCCCGAUCUCGCCUGAUCUCGGAAGCUAAGCAGGGUCGGGCCUGGUUAGUACUUGAUGGGUGACCGCCUGGGAAUACCAGGUACCAGGUGCUGUAAGCA